rnacentral:rRNA from 1 species
GCCAAGUUUCUAGCCUCACAAACAACUAUAAAACUUCUUUACCUUAUUUCCUUACCCUAAAACAUUUUCUCAAUUAAGUAAAGGCGAUAGAAAAAUUUCUGAGAGCAACAUAAACAGUACCGUAAGGGAAUGAUGAAAUAAAAAUGAAAUAAUUAUUAAGCAUAAAAAAGUAAAGUUCCCCCCUUGUACCUUUUGCAUCAUGGUUUAACUAGUCCUUUUAGGCAAAAAGACUUUUAGUCUAAUUCCCCGAACCUGGGCGAGCUACCUUAAGACAGCUUUUAGAGCCAACCCGUCUCUGUUGCAAAAGAGUGGGAAGAUCUUAUCGUGGCGGUGACAGACCAAACGAGCCUAGUGAUAGCUGGUUACUUUUUAAAAGGAUUUUAGUCCAACUUAAAGUUAUAUACAUCAUAAAAAAUUUUAAACUUUAAAGUAAUUCAAAUAAGGUUCAGCCUGUUUGAAAAAGGAUACAACCUCUACCACUGGGUUACUAUGUACUAUUAAAACAAAGUAGGCUUAAAAGCAGCCACCUUAUAAAAGCGUCAUAGCUUAAUUUAACAUUUUUCAUAAUUCCUUAAACCUCUCUCAACCCUUCAAUACUAAAAAGUAAUUCUAUACCUCUAUAGAAAAUUUUAUGUUAAAACUAGUAACAAGAAGUAGCCCUUCUCUUAAAUGUAUCUGUUCAUCAACACGGACGCUCCAUUGAUAAUUAACGCCUGUAAAUCUAUAGUACCCCUCCCCACGAAAGCCCUACUAUUAUUAACGUUAACCUAACACAAGAACAUUAAAAGAAAGAUUAAAAGAUAAAGAAGGAACUCGGCAAACAUUAGCCUCGCCUGUUUACCAAAAACAUCGCCUCCUGACUAAUCAUAAGAGGUCAAGCCUGCCCAGUGACAUUGUUCAACGGCCGCGGUAUCCUAACCGUGCGAAGGUAGCGUAAUCACUUGUUCUUUAAAUGAGGACUAGUAUGAACGGCUUCACGAAAGCUAUACUGUCUCCUUUAUCCAAUCAGUUAAACUAAUCUCCCCGUGAAGAAGCGGGGAUUAAUCUAUAAGACGAGAAGACCCUAUGGAGCUUUAAACAUCUUAAAACAUUUGAGUUAAAUAUUACUAUUUCCAGUAAAGCUUCACUAAACCAAUCAUUUUGUUUUAAGUUUUAGGUUGGGGUGACCACGGAGAAUAACUUAACCUCCACGUAGAAAGAGAAUUUUUUCUAAGCAAAAAGCCACAUCUUCAUGCAUCAAAAUAUUGACUCAAAUUGACCCAAUUACUUGAUCAACGAACCAAGUUACCCUAGGGAUAACAGCGCAAUCCGCUUUAAGAGCUCCUAUCGACAAGCGGGCUUACGACCUCGAUGUUGGAUCAGGGAAUCCCAGUGGUGCAGCAGCUACUAAUGGUUCGUUUGUUCAACGAUUAAAACCCUACGUGAUCUGAGUUCAGACCGGAGUAAUCCAGGUCAGUUUCUAUCUAUAAAGAGCUUUUUCUAGUACGAAAGGACCGAAAAAACAUGGCCAAUGCUUUUAUAUUAAGCCAUCUUUCACAAUUUAUGCUUUAAACUUAAUAACCAAGAAUCCUAGUAUCAACUUUAAGAUCAAAAUUAUAA